GCGUGGAUAGCUCAGUUGGGAGAGCGUAGGACUGAAGAUCCUAAGGUCAGGUGUUCGAUCCACCUUCACCGCA